UUUGCGACCAAAUCAUGUGCAU
rnacentral:miRNA from 1 species